rnacentral:rRNA from 1 species
GACGAACGCUGGCGGCGUGCUUAACACAUGCAAGUCGAACGAAGAGCGACGGAAGCUUGCUUCUAUCAAUCUUAGUGGCGAACGGGUGAGUAACGCGUAAUCAACCUGCCCUUCAGAGGGGGACAACAGUUGGAAACGACUGCUAAUACCGCAUACGAUCUAACCUCGGCAUCGAGGAUAGAUGAAAGGUGGCCUCUACAUGUAAGCUAUCACUGAAGGAGGGGAUUGCGUCUGAUUAGCUAGUUGGAGGGGUAACGGCCCACCAAGGCGAUGAUCAGUAGCCGGUCUGAGAGGAUGAACGGCCACAUUGGGACUGAGACACGGCCCAGACUCCUACGGGAGGCAGCAGUGGGGAAUCUUCCGCAAUGGACGAAAGUCUGACGGAGCAACGCCGCGUGAGUGAUGACGGCCUUCGGGUUGUAAAGCUCUGUUAAUCGGGACGAAAGGCCUUCUUGCGAAUAGUGAGAAGGAUUGGCGGUACCGGAAUAGAAAGCCACGGCUAACUACGUG